CACGGCAGUAGAAGCCCUGCCAAGAGGUUCUAUAACGUGGGAGAAAAGGUCACGUACACCUGCGACGAAGGGUACACCCUGGACUCCAGACAUACCAGCAGAGUGAGGUGCCUCGGGGAUGGCAUCUGGCAAUAUGACAAGCCCAGCUGUUCAGUGGACAUUCGGGUCACGCUGCAGGACGACCUACUCUAUGGGUACAGUCUAAACCAGGCGCCUGAUACUGAGAGUGAGAACCACACAGUUAUCAUCUUCAGUGGCACAGUGGAACAGAUCACCGACCUGGACGAAAAGAAAGAGCUUCUGGUUGCCUCUCUAGUCAUCGAAUUCGUAAGUAGACCCGGUUAUGACACCUUCGAAUUCAGUAAUUUUUAGAAAUAUUCCGUUUCUGUCGUUUUGCCUUG